CAAAAAAAAAGAUACUAAAAAUAUACAAUUUAGGGCAAAACGAUUAAUACACACACACACACGCACGUUGAAGUACAUAUAAAGUCGCAAAUGUAGGCGGUGUUUUUGCGUGCUCCGACGGACAUCCCGGAGAAAAGCCUUAAGCAGGAGGAACCCGGAAUAAUAAUCGCAGCACCACGGAGAAGCGAUCUUGCUAGAAACACAACACACGCGCAAUCGGAGCACCACACGGUCGACGCUGGAGUCAAGUAUGAAGUCAACUCUCUGGGAAGCGAGGAGCAGUGCUUAAACAAAAAAGAAAAAAAAAACGAAAAGAAAAAAGAU